GGUCCGCUAGCUCAACGGUUAGAGCGGCACUCUUAUAAGGUGUUGGUUCCAGGUUCGAGUCCUGGGCGGACCA
rnacentral:tRNA from 1 species